UACGUAGGCAGCAAGCGUUGUUCGGAGUUACUGGGCGUAAAGGGUGUGUAGGCGGUUCUUUAAGUUUGGGGUGAAAUCUCCCGGCUCAACCGGGAGGGUGCGCCGAAUACUGAGGGACUAGAGUGCGGGAGAGGAAAGUGGAAUUCCUGGUGUAGCGGUGAAAUGCGUAGAUAUCAGGAGGAACACCGGUGGUGUAGACGGCUUUCUGGACCGUAACUGACGCUGAGACACGAAAGCGUGGGUAGCAAACAGG
rnacentral:rRNA from 1 species